ACUCAUUACAUGUAUCACAUAUGCUUUUACACGAAAGACUGCGAGCUAAGUACUCAUGGUCUUGGACUGCCAGCUGCGUCGUAUAGCAAUAAUAUAAUGGAUACUUAGGGGUGACAGGCCCUUCAAGCCGUUUGAUAUCUUGUUAUAUGGGAAAAGUAUUAAGUACUGCGACAGACCGCAAAAGUUAAGCUUUGUGGUCACUACAAGUGUCGGGGAGUGCAUAUUAUAUAACAUAAAAGCUAAUGGUAAAGGUAAACUAUCAUUUAUCACGGGUAACUGUAGUGUUUACCAUGUUAGAUCUUCUAUGAAAGAUUUUGAAAAUGUGAGUAUAAGUAGCUUAUAUAAGUACCUCUUAGGAACUCGGCAACACACCGUUCAACUGUUUAUCAAAAACAUAACCAUAUGGAAUAAUAUAUAGCUUUUUCUGCUCCCUGAUAUGUUAAAUAGCCGCAGUACUUUGACUGUGCAAAGGUAGCAUAAUCACUUGGCCUUUAAAUGAGGUCUGGAAUGAACGACGCAAUGGGCGGUGACUCUCUUAGAGAGUGUUAUAGUAAAAUUAGUUAGUAAGUGAAAAUACUUACAACAUACAAUAGACGAGAAGACCCUAGAAACUUAGAUUUAUUUUUGUUGGGGCGACAGAAUUACAAGCAAACUAAUUUUAAGAACUCGAAGCGAAGCAGCCAGAAAAAGUUACUCUAGGGAUAACAGCAUAAUUUCAAAAGUUUGUGACCUCGAUGUUGGAUUAGGUAUCCUUAUCUCUUAGAAGGGGGUAAAUGUGCUCUGUUCGAGCAAGUGUACCUACAU
rnacentral:rRNA from 1 species